UACGGAGGGAGCUAGCGUUGCUCGGAAUUACUGGGCGUAAAGCGCACGUAGGCGGCUUUGUAAGUUAGAGGUGAAAGCCUGGAGCUCAACUCCAGAACUGCCUUUAAGACUGCAUCGCUUGAAUCCAGGAGAGGUGAGUGGAAUUCCGAGUGUAGAGGUGAAAUUCGUAGAUAUUCGGAAGAACACCAGUGGCGAAGGCGGCUCACUGGACUGGUAUUGACGCUGAGGUGCGAAAGCGUGGGGAGCAAACAGG
rnacentral:rRNA from 1 species